GUUUUCACUCUUCUGCUCCCUUUACAGCCAAGUGUCUAUCUAUGAGGGAGACAAAAGGGAUUGUCGCAAGUUCUGCACCACGGGCAUCGACGGAGCGAUGACCAUUUGGGACUUUAAGAGUCUAGAAGCUUCUAUCCAGGGCCUCCGCAUCAUGUGAAGAAAUCUUUUGAAUAAAUGAAGUUGCUGCAGCCUCACUUUUCCGUCUCCCCUCCCCCAGUCCUCACCCUCCCCCCCCUCCCACCCCACCCUCCUCUCAGCCCCUCCACUUGUGUGGCGCAGGCAGCAAAAUCUCAUAACUGACCACCUAAUCGAGUGUCUGAAGCACUGAUCAGACCAUUAAACACUCUUAUGGGCGUGUCCAAACACACACACAUACACACUACACACACUAAAGCUGAUGUGAGAUCACUGAUUACUUUUUUUUUCUUUUCUUUGUUUGCUUUUAAAAUGAAGGUUAAUCAGGUGUAAAAGUGGAAAGGUCUUGUGACACGUACUAAACGUGAUAUGAAAUGUGUGUUGUUGUUUUUUUUUUUUUUUAUGUUAUCUAACCUCCAAGUACCAAAAGGUGAACACUAAAGCGCGUGUUUUAUCCAAAAUAAAAAUCAAAAUUCCAGGCUGUAUUUCGCCGCGCUCCAAUCCGAACGUGAUCUCCUGUGCAGGUGUGGUGAGCAACGUGCGAUUGUUGGUCCUCACCGAAGGAUCGUAAAUAUCCUUCAGCUGGUGAAACUGUGGUUUAUAUAAUGACCAGGGGUGUGUAAAUGCUCUGAGCACACGUUGACGGUUGUCUCGUAAGAAACCUGUACCGGAUCGGAUGUUGGAGAAGAGAAAGCAGCUGUUGAGACUGUGCAGCGUUACAGCUGGCCAGCACUGUUCUCUGUAACUACCACACUAAAACCACACAUGACGGAGGAUUUCUAUGUAACUGAUUAUGAGGUAGAAAUGAAAUAAAAGCUGAAUUACAUUUACACUACACGA